CCGACGCGUAGCACCACAGCGGUAGCAGCCACGGGUGGUGGAAGGGCACGUCGCCGCCGCUCAGGAAGAACAGACGGCAGAACUUGCUCAGGAACAGCAGCAGCGGGAUGAAAUGCGUCCAGAAGUUGAGCGUCUCGUUGGACUUCUAUUUGGAACUGAGUCCGACAGCUCAGGACUGGCUGCUCAGACUCCACAAUUUAAUGAAAAAUCUGAGAUGAUGACUCAGAAAACCUCUAACGAUCUGAGGAAUAUAUUAAGGGAUUCCAAAGUCAAAGGCUGAUCAUGGAGGGCAUUGAUGAGGGGAGACUUCAGGUGGCCAGAGACUAGAAGAAAGGAACACCGGAAGAAUGAAAACGGUUGUGAUGCACUGCAGUGUG
rnacentral:antisense_RNA from 1 species